rnacentral:rRNA from 1 species
GCCAUCGUCAUCACACACACACACACACACACACACACACACACUCUUCACAAGUUCUCACUGUUUCCUGUCCCUCUUGAGUUGAGUCUCUCUGCUCCAUCCCGGCCGGCCUUUCCCCUCCUGACAGCCAGAUGGCCCAGAAGGUGGUGCUGAGGAUUCCCACCAUGACCGAUGACAAGACCAAGCAGAAAGCCAUGGAGGCCGUCGCCGACAUCUACGGUAUCGACUCGAUAGCCGCGGACCUCAAGGACAACAAGAUGACCGUCAUAGGCGCCAUGGACACGGUGGCCAUCGCCAAGAGGCUCAAGAAGCUCGGCAAGAUCGACAUCGUCUCGGUUGGCCCGGCCAAGGAGGAGAAGAAGCCGGCGCCGGCGCCGGCUGCUGAGAAGAAGGGCGAGGAGAAGAAGGAAGACAAGAAAGAGGAGAAGAAAGAUGACAAGAAGGUCGACAAGAAGUGAAAGCAACCCAUUGCAGAAGGAGAAACCCAACAUCAUCACGCAAACGGCAACAGCAACAAAAAGUCUUUGACAUCUGAGGCUCUGAUGGAAUGCUAGAUAGCUAAUUAUCAUCUCCACUGCGAAACAAGGUCGCUUUGCGUACUGUACUGGUAUAGCGCACUACAGACAUCAAGUCAAAUCAAAUAUCAGAUCAGUGUGUGUGGACAUGUGACUCUGGGUUUGCCUGAUUGGUGAUGACAUGAAUCCUACUCUAUCAGCCAACUUCAGGCAAUUUUUCAGAAUUCAGACUACAUUGCAUGAUCUCAGUUUUUUAGCUGUUUGAACCUGAGCUGGCCUGUGACAGAGACUGGCUAUCUGCCACCUUCUGAUAGGAAAGAGGACAAGAGUUUCAGUCGUCGCAAUGGCGCGGCCAAAAAAAAGGAAGCAGUGUCAGUGUGGCCUUUCCCCUAACUCCAAGUUGCCGCAGGCCCAAGUAUAUCCGGCUUUGCUCACAGUCUUUGAUCUGUCACCAUUACUUCAAAAAAAUUUGAAACUUUUAAAUAUGUUUUGAUUUUUUCUUCCUUUUUGCAAAACGAGCUCCAUGGGGCUCGGCCUUUGCAACGCCACACUCCUAAAUGGCCCGACUACUAGGGCUGCCAAUUAAUGAUAUUUUUUAUUUUUUCAUAAACAUGAAAAACAGUGUAUUCAGUUUUUACACACUGAAAACUAUGAUCACAAAUAAAUUGAUAAUGGAAACUGUUUGCUUAUU